rnacentral:rRNA from 1 species
AUUGAACGCUGGCGGAAUGCUUUACACAUGCAAGUCGAACGGUAGAGGGGCAACCCUUGAGAGUGGCGAACGGGGGAGUAAUGUAUCGGAACAUGCCCAGUCGUGGGGGAUAACGUAGCGAAAGUUACGCUAAUACCGCAUACGAUCUAUGGAUGAAAGCGGGGGAUCGCAGGACCUCGCGCGAUUGGAGUGGCCGAUACCCGAUUAGGUAGUUGGUGGGGUAAAGGCCUACCAAGCCGACGAUCUGUAGCUGGUCUGAGAGGACGACCAGCCACACUGGGACUGAGACACGGCCCAGACUCCUACGGGAGGCAGCAGUGGGGAAUUUUGGACAAUGGGCGAAAGCCUGAUCCAGCCAUUCCGCGUGCAGGAAGAAGGCCCUCGGGUUGUAAACUGCUUUUGUACGGAACGAAACGGUGAGCUCUAAUACAGUUUGCUAAUGACGGUACCGUAAGAAUAAGCACCGGCUAACUACGUGCCAGCCGCCGCAGUAACAC